CCAGACACAGCGUGGGAGGGGAAACCGAGACGGAUGAAGUAACUUGUCAAAGGUCACACAGCAGGUUAGUGGAAGAGCCAGACGUAUGGGGCUCAGAAGAGCAGUGCUAAUCCAAUGACCUAACCCCUGGGCAACACUAACUCUAAUACCAGUCCCCUCUGAGGCCUUCCUUCAGGGAUACAAAGCAUCCUGCAGAACCUAAUUUGAAAGCCUUGCCCCGCAGUCUGCACAGACUGCAGCUUUAAUUCACUGCUACUCUAUUUCCUGUUCUGUCGCUGUUCUGAGGUUUCACUAUUAACAUCAAAAUGGAAGGGAAAUUCCCUGCCCCCAGAGUGCUCCCCAUAAAUUUUUUCCGUUGAAACUCACAGACCCAAAUGCCACGCAACAGCAGAGAGGCAAGCGAAAGGAGGAGACCCAGCACGACCAGGCACUGGAGAAAUGGAAGAAGCGUUUUUCCAGCUUUACCAAGAAUUCACACAACUGCAGGAUUUAUGUGCAAAGCAGGCUGAGUUGCUACAGAAGUUGAUUGUGAAGAAGGAACCAAUGACGGACAUGCCAAUUUCGAUGCCAAUCCAGUGCACGGACGACGGGGGAUUAGCACAAUCAGAGAGACUCUUCUUCCAACAGCAGUUACCAAAGGUUCCCAGCUCUAUCCUUUCCAACCCAACAGUUCCUACAUGGCCCAACUCCGCAGUUCUUCGGGACCAGCCACAAGAUGCAGACACGGUUUCUCGUUUUGAUAUUAAGUACCCUCCGAGUGCAGCAAAUGCCAACUUGUUAAGCAGUGCCAAGGGGAAGGCAGAUUUCGCAAUAGCACUUUCCAGCCAGAACCACCACAAACCGCACGUGGGCAAGAAGGCGGCUUGUGACACGCUGUUGAAAAAUUAUACGAUGUUUCCUGCUUUGAAAGCGGACAAGGAACAAUCCACAGCCCCUCCCAUACCUCCAGAGCUUGCUACCUUAAAUCCGGAGGAUGUAGGCUCUUUUCCCAGUUUCUUGGAUCUUUAUGAAGCACCACAAGAUUUACAGACGGAAAGUACUUCCCUUCAAGCAGCAGAAAUUAAAGUUCCUAUAGAAAUACGAGGACCCACACAGCCUCUUCCAAAGGACUUCAUCCAAAGCCUUUUGAAAAAUAGAUGAUUUGGGCCAUCUAGGACUUCCUGGACUCCAGGAUGGGCGGUAGAAGACAGUCCACUUGGUCACAGCGGGAAUUUUGAACUCCAAGGGUACUCUGCAUACACAGACCUGUGAGUUUUGCCAAGUCAUUUUCCCAGCUGGGGAAGCAGCACAAGGAGACUAUGACAAGCAUCUCAUAGCUCAUAUCGAAUAGGAUUGGUAUCAUCAUGUACUUGUAACCCGCUUACAGAGGAUGGCUUUCCGUCCCCUUUAGUGGCUGGACAACAUAAGGGUUAUGAGCCUGCUAUAGAACUGUUGGAAUAAGUGACUUCUUGACUCAGUGGCUGAAUAAAAACAUUGUGAAAAAACA
rnacentral:lncRNA from 1 species